AGUGAACGCUGGCGGUAGGCCUAACACAUGCAAGUCGAACGGCAGCACAGGAGAGCUUGCUCUCUGGGUGGCGAGUGGCGGACGGGUGAGGAAUACAUCGGAAUCUACUUUUUCGUGGGGGAUAACGUAGGGAAACUUACGCUAAUACCGCAUACGACCUACGGGUGAAAGCAGGGGACCUUCGGUCCUUGCGCGAUUGAAUGAGCCGAUGUCGGAUUAGCUAGUUGGCGGGGUAAAGGCCCACCAAGGCGACGAUCCGUAGCUGGUCUGAGAUGAUGAUCAGGCACACUGGAACUGAGACACGGUCCAGACUCCUACGGGAGGCAGCAGUGGGGAAUAUGGGACAAUGGGCGCAAGCCUGAUCCAGCCAUACCGCGUGGGUGAAGAAGGCAUUCGGGUUGUAAAGCCCUGUUGUUGGAAAAGAAAUCCAGCUGGCUAAUACCCGGUUGGGAUGACGGUACCCAAAGAAUAAGCACCGGCUAACUUCGUGCCAGCAGCCGCGGUAA
rnacentral:rRNA from 1 species